rnacentral:rRNA from 1 species
GUGAGGAAUUUUCCGCAAUGGGCGAAAGCCUGACGGAGCAAUGCCGCGUGAAGGAUGAAGGCCUAUGGGUUGUAAACUUCUUUUGUACGGAACGAAACGGUCCUGGUUAAUACCUGGGGCUAAUGACGGUACCGUAAGAAUAAGCACCGGCUAACUACGUGCCAGCAGCCGCGGUAAUACGUAGGGUGCGAGCGUUAAUCGGAAUUACUGGGCGUAAAGCGUGCGCAGGCGGUGCUGUAAGACAGGCGUGAAAUCCCCGGGCUCAACCUGGGAAUUGCGCUUGUGACUGCAGUGCUGGAGUACGGCAGAGGGGGAUGGAAUUCCGCGUGUAGCAGUGAAAUGCGUAGAUAUGCGGAGGAACACCGAUGGCGAAGGCAGUCCCCUGGGCCUGUACUGACGCUCAUGCACGAAAGCGUGGGGAGCAAACAGGAUUAGAAACCCGUGUAGUCC